UUAGUGGCGGAUGGGUGAGUAACGCGUGGGUAACCUGCCUUACACAGGGGGAUAACACUUAGAAAUAGGUGCUAAAACCGCAUAAGCGCACAGCUUUGCAUGAAGCAGUGUGAAAAACUCCGGUGGUGUAAGAUGGACCCGCGUCUGAUUAGCUUGUUGGCGGGGUAACGGCCCACCAAGGCGACGAUCAGUAGCCGGCCUGAGAGGGCGGACGGCCACAUUGGGACUGAGACACGGCCCAGACUCCUACGGAAGGCAGCAG
rnacentral:rRNA from 1 species